rnacentral:rRNA from 1 species
UGUUCUAACGUGGACCCGUAAUCCGGGUUGCGGACAGUGUCUGGUGGGUAGUUUGACUGGGGCGGUCUCCUCCUAAAGAGUAACGGAGGAGCACGAAGGUUGGCUAAUCCUGGUCGGACAUCAGGAGGUUAGUGCAAUGGCAUAAGCCAGCUUGACUGCGAGCGUGACGGCGCGAGCAGGUGCGAAAGCAGGUCAUAGUGAUCCGGUGGUUCUGAAUGGAAGGGCCAUCGCUCAACGGAUAAAAGGUACUCCGGGGAUAACAGGCUGAUACCGCCCAAGAGUUCAUAUCGACGGCGGUGUUUGGCACCUCGAUGUCGGCUCAUCACAUCCUGGGGCUGAAGUAGGUCCCAAGGGUAUGGCUGUUCGCCAUUUAAAGUGGUACGCGAGCUGGGUUUAGAACGUCGUGAGACAGUUCGGUCCCUAUCUGCCGUGGGCGCUGGAGAACUGAGGGGGGCUGCUCCUAGUACGAGAGGACCGGAGUGGACGCAUCACUGGUGUUCGGGUUGUCAUGCCAAUGGCACUGCCCGGUAGCUAAAUGCGGAAGAGAUAAGUGCUGAAAGCAUCUAAGCACGAAACUUGCCCCGAGAUGAGUUCUCCCUGAGACUUAGAGUCUCCUGAAGGAACGUUGAAGACGACGACGUUGA